GUGAGUGACGCCGUGCGUUCUCUCGUACCACGACCAAAAGACGAGAGGCCCAAAUAUACUCUCGUAUACGUUCGCUCUACGGAUGUACAGAUUAUCAUUUAAGCGACAAGGGCGCUAGCUGUGGAGCUUUCGUACUUCCAGUUGGGAGGAAGGGUACUUUUGGUUUUGUAGUAACGAGCAAGCCUGUGGAUUCUGGAUUCUACUAGAAUCAAACGGAACUUGCUGUCCUUGUCCUUGCGAUUGCGCUCCAAGUGU